GCCCCCCACACUUAUGUCCCAGGCCACCAGCAUUUACCCCACAGCUCACAAAAAAGCAGAGGGCUUGUUUCUGACCCAGGUGGGUGGUUUCAAACCCAGGUGGGUGGUUUCACCUCUCUGAGCCAUAGUUUCUUCAAGGGCAGCGGAGGAAAAUACAGCUGAUUCUCAUUAUUUGCAGUAGUCACGUUCUGUAAAUUAGUAGGAAACACUGAGUUAGCAAAUACUGAGCCAUUAUUCUUAGGGAAAAUACAAGGUUAGGUUUCUAUGAGCCUCUGACGACCUAUUUGUCCACUGAUCAAUACUUAAAGCUUGUUUUAUGUGUUUCUGUUUAGAUAUCUUAUUUAAUACAUAUCAUUGAUUCAUUAACAAAACAAACACCCCUGUUCUCUCUGUAAGGUAUCACAGCCUUUUGCAAUUAGGAAUACUAGAAAGCACUUCAGUACUAUGCUUGUGGCCAUUUAUAAUACCCGAAUCACCAACAAAAAAGCACAAAAAUGUGAAGCCUGGCACUAAAUAGACCACGAAAAGGACGCUUGUUUACAGUGUGAGCUGAAAAGGGAGAGCAGAGCGUCUGCCGCCUCGGACUUCAGCUGGGAAUGCGCGCGUAGGAUGAUUCAAAUUUUUGCCAUUCUAUACAUGUCCGUGAAUGACCCUGAAGGCACAAAGCAAAGCCUGAAAUAGGAUUUGAGUACAAGUCGUCUUUUGGAAGGUGAUCACAAGAAGUACCAGUGGGGAUGCGAGAAGAGGAAAGAAAAGGAAGAACACAAAGUGCUUGAUGGAGAAAAUGAAGCCCAGAUGGGGAAAAGAUGUUCCCCGAGACCCCCAGGGAUUAGAGGCUCCCAAUCAAAGUGUUUCUACUUUUGAGAAAAACAACAAGAGGUUCAGGGAGUCUCAGAGAGCAUCCUGACAUGAGCCACUGGUGUGUCCUGAAGGGGCCUGAAGAACAAAAACUUCUCAGCAGUUAAGAAAAUAUGUGGACAAAUAUUAUGGGAGGAGGCAGCAUAUCAUUGUCUCCAAGCGCCGAAGUCUUUCUUACAAGAUAAAAAUGGCUGCCAUAUACAGCCUCAUUGCACCCCUUCCUCAGAGUCCGAGUCUAGACCCCAGUGCACUUGUACUCCAAGUUCGGAGAUGCCAGCAGCAGCCAUGCAGCACCUGCUUCGCAGAGGUUCACUUUUCCGCUCCAUGGGACCCAAUCUCUAAUUUGCAAACCGUUUUCAUAUCUAGCUUCCCGUCAAGCCAGGCAAUGCCAGAGCCUUGAGGAUUACACAGGAGAAGGAUGACUGACUUUCCCACUUCACAGAAGAGAAUAUUGAGGCUCAGGGAGGCGAAGAGGCUCAAGGGCAUAUGACUGGUGAGGACCUGGCUCUCAAAGAAGCUCUUGAGGUAGCAACGGGAGUAGAUCAUAAACCAUGGACCGUGUUGUCUGCUUUUGCAAAGGACUCUUGGACGUCCAUAUUGCAAACUGAACCUGGACUGAGGGAGAUCCUGGGCCUGAGCCAAGGUUGUGUUUGUGACUCUUAUUGUCCCAGAAAAUGGAAAACACAGUGACCUCUAUGAAGAACUCAUUGCUUCUAGCUUCUGCAUCUACUCCAUGGUGAGCAUCAGCCAUAUCCGUGUAUACCGAA